rnacentral:rRNA from 1 species
GAUGAACGCUGGCGGCGUGCUUAACACAUGCAAGUCGAACGGAAAGGCCGAAGCUUGCUUCGGUACUCGAGUGGCGAACGGGUGAGUAACACGUGGGUGAUCUGCCCUGUACUUCGGGAUAAGCUUUGGAAACUGGGUCUAAUACCGGAUAUGACGAUCUCUUGGAUGGGGUUGUGGAAAGCUUUUGCGGUAUGGGAUGAGCUCGCGGCCUAUCAGCUUGUUGGUGGGGUAAUGGCCUACCAAGGCGUCGACGGGUAGCCGGCCUGAGAGGGUGUACGGCCACAUUGGGACUGAGAUACGGCCCAGACUCCUACGGGAGGCAGCAGGGGGGAAUAUUGCACAAUGGGCGCAAGCCUGAUGCAGCGACGCCGCGUGGGGGAUGACGGCCUUCGGGUUGUAAACUCCUUUCGCAAUCGACGAAGCCUUUUGGUGACGGUAGGUUGAGAAGAAGCACCGGCUAACUACGUG